UUGACCUCAAAUCGGGUAGGAUUACCCGCUGAACUUAAGCAUAUCAAUAAGCGGUGGAAAAGAAACUAACAA
rnacentral:rRNA from 1 species